rnacentral:rRNA from 1 species
GGGUUGUGAGGUUAAGCGACUAAGCGUACACGGUGGAUGCCCUGGCAGUCAGAGGCGAUGAAGGGCGUGCUAAUCUGCGAUAAGCGCCGGUAAGGUGAUAUGAACCGUUAUAACCGGCGAUACCCGAAUGGGGAAACCCAGUGUGAUUCGUCACACUAUCAUUAACUGAAUCCAUAGGUUAAUGAGGCGAACCGGGGGAACUGAAACAUCUAAGUACCCCGAGGAAAAGAAAUCAACCGAGAUUCCCCCAGUAGCGGCGAGCGAACGGGGAGGAGCCCAGAGCCUGAAUCAGCAUGUGUGUUAGUGGAAGCGUCUGGAAAGGCGCGCGAUACAGGGUGACAGCCCCGUACACAAAAGCGCAUGUGCUGUGAGCUCGAUGAGUAGGGCGGGACACGUGGUAUCCUGUCUGAAUAUGGGGGGACCAUCCUCCAAGGCUAAAUACUCCUGACUGACCGAUAGUGAACCAGUACCGUGAGGGAAAGGCGAAAAGAACCCCGGCGAGGGGAGUGAAAAAGAACCUGAAACCGUGUACGUACAAGCAGUGGGAGCCCCACCACUAAGCCAGUGGUGAACUCCACAUACGCAUCCUUUGCUGAGGAUACGGUUAACGGAGCGAAAGCGACGUUCAACCGCAAAACAAGCAGAGGGGGCUUAGUGGUGGGGUGACUGCGUACCUUUUGUAUAAUGGGUCAGCGACUUAUAUUCUGUAGCAAGGUUAACCGAAUAGGGGAGCCGUAGGGAAACCGAGUCUUAAUUGGGCGUUAAGUUGCAGGGUAUAGACCCGAAACCCGGUGAUCUAGCCAUGGGCAGGUUGAAGGUUGGGUAACACUAACUGGAGGACCGAACCGACUAAUGUUGAAAAAUUAGCGGAUGACCUGUGGCUGGGGGUGAAAGGCCAAUCAAACCGGGAGAUAGCUGGUUCUCCCCGAAAGCUAUUUAGGUAGCGCCUCGUGAAUUCAUCUCCGGGGGUAGAGCACUGUUUCGGCUAGGGGGCCAUCCCGGCUUACCAACCCGAUGCAAACUGCGAAUACCGGAGAAUGUUAUCACGGGAGACACACGGCGGGUGCUAACGUCCGUCGUGAAGAGGGAAACAACCCAGACCGCCAGCUAAGGUCCCAAAGUCAUGGUUAAGUGGGAAACGAUGUGGGAAGGCCCAGACAGCCAGGAUGUUGGCUUAGAAGCAGCCAUCAUUUAAAGAAAGCGUAAUAGCUCACUGGUCGAGUCGGCCUGCGCGGAAGAUGUAACGGGGCUAAACCAU